UACGUAGGGGGCUAGCGUUGUCCGGAUUUAUUGGGCGUAAAGAGCGUGUAGGCGGCCAGGUAGGUCUGGUGUGAAAACUCGAGGCUUAACCUCGAGAUGUCAUCGGAAACCAUCUGGCUAGAGUCCGGAAGAGGAAAGUGGAAUUCCUGGUGUAGCGGUGAAAUGCGCAGAUAUCGGGAAGAACACCAGUGGCGAAGGCGGCCGGCUGGGGGCGCCCUGACGCUGAGGCGCGAGAGCGUGGGGAGCAAACCGG
rnacentral:rRNA from 1 species